CCCUCAUUCAUUGUCUAUUGACUGAAAGUUUUGCUUGAAAUUUUUGCUUAGUUUUCAUGUAUUACUUUGUGAUUAGGUCAGUUUAUGGGGAACCACUAGUCGUAGGUUAAUGAUAAUUGGUAUGCAGCUGUAUGAGCAUUGGAAUAUCUCAUUUCUAUGGAGAUUAUUUGGUCCCGCCCCCUCAGUCAUGGUCUAUUAACUUUGAAACUUUUGCUUAGUUUUCAUGUAUUAGUUUGUGAUUAUGUCAGUUUAUGGGAAACCAGUAGUGGUAGGUCAAUAAUGCUUGGUAUGCAGUUGUAUUAACAUUGGCACAUCUCAUUACCAUGGAGAUUAUUUGGCCCCGCCCCCUCAGUCAUGGUCUAUUGACUUUGAAACUUUUACUUAGUUUUCAUGUAUUAGUUUGUGAUAAAGUCAGUUUAUGGGGAACCAGUAGUGGUAGGUCAAUGAUACUUGGUAUGCAGUUGUAUUAGCAUUGGCAUAUCUCAUUUCCAUGGAGAUUGUUUAGCCAUGUACCUUCAGUCAUGGUUCAUUGACUUUGAAUAUUUGUUAAACUUACAUGUUAAAGUGUUGCUAAUUUUUUAUUUCAACAUUUGCAUUAUCGAAAUUACAAAAAGAGCGAGACAUAUCUCUGUGAUAACAGUUUAUGAUCAUUAACAAGCUUCUGUCCAUGUUUGGUAGAAAUCCAAUGUAAUUUAAGAAAGUUAUAUGAAUUUUAAACACAUCAUUGCCUGAGUAAAUUGAAACCUCAGUUUCUUCUUCAUAAUUUAUUAACCAACAUUUUUAUUUACAAAACCUGACAGUAUUUCGCCGAAGAUACCAUUAGGCUCUGAUAGUCCACCAGCUGAGGUAUUGACCCAAGGCUGUAACCAAUGAAAGAAAAAUACGUGACAACACGUGACCUCCAAGAUUAGCACUUUGUGUGGAAUAAAUGUUUCUUGCGGUCAGCAAACAAAUGAAAACAAAUGUCCGUUUCUUGCAUGCUAUAUUCCGCGCUAAGACAAAAAAAAUAUAAAAUAGUUCUGGCCUAUCCUUAUACAUUUUAUAUACCAAGUUAGGACCUAAUUCUAAUAAUAUAAUACGUCCACACGUCAACACAACUAGAAGUGAUAUUUCCAGUCCACAUACAUAUUAAUAUUAAAAUACGACCAUGCGUCGACAAACAUGUUAAAUUGGUAUGUCCUCUCAUUAUGCAUGUUAUAUUACGCGUUAGGGCCUUGUCCAAAUUAUAAUGAAGUCAUGUUCAUUUGUUUUUAAAGAAAUCAUUACAAAUACCUUGACGUUUGUUCAUUAGUUAACUAC
rnacentral:lncRNA from 1 species